CCAGGCCACUCUCCUUCCCUGAACAGGCCCAGCAGGGCCCUAGCUCCCCCGCUGCUCUGUGGUUCCCUCUGCCUGGGACGCCCUUCCCCCCUCCUAUGCCUGGCAGUAUCUCUACUUGUCCUUUGAGGCCCCACUCGAGUGUCACCUCCUUCCCCAGCUCCCCAGGCAGAAAUAGUUGUGUGUGCUCCCAAAGCCCUUGGUUCAUGCUUCUACUGUGACACUUAUCUCACUGUUUUAUAAUUAGUUGGGCAUGAGUCUGUCUCCUGAGCUAGACUGUGUCUGAAUCAUGUCUGUAUCUCCAGUGCCCGGUGCAGGGCCUGGCCUAGAGUAGGUACUCCAUAAAAGGC
rnacentral:lncRNA from 1 species